CCAGGUUAGAAGUGCAGGAGACGACACCAGAAACGGUGUUUUCCGCAAGGACUGCUGCAUAGGUGCUGCAUGGCUGUCGUCAGCUCGUGCCGUGAGGUGUUGGGUUAAGUCCCGCAACGAGCGCAACCCUUAUCAUUAGUUGCCAACACUUAAGGUGGGGACUCUAAUGAGACUGCCUAGGUUAACUAGGAGGAAGGUGAGGAUGAUGUCAAGUCCGCAUGGCCUUUAUGUCUGGGGCAACACACGUGCUACGAUGGUCGGUACAGAAGGCAGCGAAGUCGUGAGAUGGAGCAAAUCCCUAAAGCCGAUCCCAGUUCGGAUUGUAGUCUGCAACUCGGCUACAUGAAGUUGGAAUUGCUAGUAAUGGCGUGUCAGCUACAACGCCGUGAAUACGUUCCC
rnacentral:rRNA from 1 species